rnacentral:rRNA from 1 species
CAUGCAGUCGACGAUGAAAUCACUUCGGUGGUGGAUUAGUGGCGAACGGGUGAGUAACACGUGGGCAAUCUGCCCUUCACUCUGGGACAAGCCCUGGAAACGGGGUCUAAUACCGGAUAAYACUCUGUYCCGCAUGGGACGGGGUUGAAAGCUCCGGCGGUGAAGGAUGAGCCCGCGGCCUAUCAGCUUGUUGGUGGGGUAAUGGCCUACCAAGGCGACGACGGGUAGCCGGCCUGAGAGGGCGACCGGCCACACUGGGACUGAGACACGGCCCAGACUCCUACGGGAGGCAGCAGUGGGGAAUAUUGCACAAUGGGCGAAAGCCUGAUGCAGCGACGCCGCGUGAGGGAUGACGGCCUUCGGGUUGUAAACCUCUUUCAGCAGGGAAGAAGCGAAAGUGACGGUACCUGCAGAAGAAGCGCCGGCUAACUACGUGCCAGCAGCCGCGGUAAUACGUAGGGCGCAAGCGUUGUCCGGAAUUAUUGGGCGUAAAGAGCUCGUAGGCGGCUUGUCACGUCGGAUGUGAAAGCCCGGGGCUUAACCCCGGGUCUGCAUUCGAUACGGGCUAGCUAGAGUGUGGUAGGGGAGAUCGGAAUUCCUGGUGUAGCGGUGAAAUGCGCAGAUAUCAGGAGGAACACCGGUGGCGAAGGCGGAUCUCUGGGCCAUUACUGACGCUGAGGAGCGAAAGCGUGGGGAGCGAACAGGAUUAGAUACCCUGGUAGUCCACGCCGUAAACGUUGGGAACUAGGUGUUGGCGACAUUCCACGUCGUCGGUGCCGCAGCUAACGCAUUAAGUUCCCCCGCCUGGGGAGUACGGCCGCAAGGCUAAAACUCAAAGGAAUUUGACGGGGGCC